rnacentral:tRNA from 1 species
CCUUGAGGUGUAAAACAUGUAUGAUUGCAAAUCAUAAGUAGCAGAUCGACGUCUGCCGGGGCUUUC